UCACGUCCGGAGACCUCACUAAAUAAUUCAAUCGGUAGUAGCGACGGGCGGUGUGUACAAACGGCAGGGACGUAAUCAAUGCGAGUUAAUGACUCACACUUACUGGGAGAUCGGGAGAGCGC